CCUCUCCCGGCUCUGCAUGGCUACACCUGCCACAACACAUGUGACUUUCGCAGAGGACAGAGAGAAAGGGUGCCCUCAGGACCUGGGGCAAGCCUCCUGUGGCCUGUUCCUUCGGGGGGAGUU
rnacentral:snoRNA from 1 species